AGCUGGGCGGUCACAUCUGGAAAUGGAAAGCCGACCUCCCCCUCCUCCUCCACCUCCUCCUCCUCCUCCUCCUUCUCCUCCUCUCACCCAGGAUCACUUCCGAAACCAGUUGGCCUUCAGCCCCUGCCUCGGCCAGAGGUUUCAUUUUUAACUGAAUAUUUACGAAAGCUGAAAGCGUGCGAGGGGGGUGGGGUGGAAAUAGCGGCUGCUUCUUUUCCAAGGAUUUAUUUAAUGGGGAUGUGUUCAAGGCAAGACCGAAUUCAGAAGGAUAUCGACGUCGUGAUCCAGAAGUCCAGAGCUGAGGACUGCCUGUUUGCAGUUCUGUUUCAUCAAAUGGAAAUGGGACAUGGACAGUUUCUCCUAUCCCAUGCAGACCAUGCUCCUGAAUUAAAACUGCAGAAUGUGUUAAAGCAUCAUUCAACAUCGUGAGCACAUUUGAGAUACUGUACAGGACAACCUGCUUUUCAUAUUCUCUGUGAAUUUCAAAGACGACUGGGAUUUUCUUCCUCCUCUACCACCCUGAACAGCAAGACCAAUACAUCCUGUAUUUCCUCCUCUUCAGCCUACUUGUGAAGACAAGGAUGAAGACCUCCAUGAUGAGCCAUCUCCACUUAAUGACUGUCUCACAUUGGCCGGCAACUUGUUCCAGAUGAAAUCUUGCUCUGUCACCCAGGCUGGAGUGCAAUGGCUCGAUCUCGGCUCACUGCAACCUCCACCUUCUGGGUUCAAGCAAUUCUCCUGCCUCAGCCUCCUGAGUAGCUGGGAUUACAGAUGGAGUCUCACUGUGUCCCCAGGCUGGAGUGCAGUGGCGCGAUCUCAACUCACUGCAAGCUCUGCCUCCCGGGUUCACGCCAUUCUCCUGCCUCAGGCUCCCGAGUAGCUGGGACUACAGGCGCCCGCCACCACUCCCGGCUAAUUUUUUUUGUAUUUUCAGUAGAGACGGGAUAUCACCAUGUUAGCCAGGAUGGUCUCGAUCUCCUGACCUCGUGAUCCGCCCUCCUCAGUCUCCCAAAGUAUUAGGAUUACAGGCGUGAGCCACCGCCCCCGGCCCUCAAAGAUUGUUAUGAGUCCUCACAGAUGUCAGAGGACGAUGCUGUGACCUAUAUUUGCAAACGCCCGGAAGACUUAAAGCUAUUGUUUUGCAAAUGCACAGAUAACAAUAAUAACAUGAUGCUGUGGAUGAGCAUGAAAGUUUUUCUCUUACUCCUAAUUAUAAUGUUUUCCCUCUUACUGCUUUGCCCUGCUGAUGGAAUUCAGUAAAGGAAUCUCUACCAGCAGACACUUGGUUUUUACCCUUCCUAGGACCUUUAAUAGAUAUCUUUUUAUUACUAAUCUUUGCUCUUUGCUUGUUUAACCUCCUUGUAAAGUUUGUGUCUUCCAGAUUACAAUAAUUCCAUGUAAAGAUGAUGCUGGCACAAGGCUUUCAACCCAUCCCCUCUUCUGACCCAGAAGAUAAAGACAUCCUACCUUUGAGCCUUUUAGAACAGGUAUCCAGGGAUUUUACCUCUCCAGUGCUAGGCAGGGUCUAUGCCCAUAACAUCAGCAGGAAGCAGUUACAGAAGAUGAACCUCCGCCCUUCUGCAAGCCCCUUAAGAUUAAGGAGGAGUAUAUAAUCUCUGAUGGGGAAAUGAGGUAGGAGACCAGAAGGACUUAUUUUCCAUUCCCAACCCCAUUGAACAGAGCAGGAUCUGGUCAAAACAGGGUGCAGUGGAGAAGCCUGCUGAAACCAGCAGAUGAUGAUGAAAGUGACCUCUAGUUGCCCUCACUGCUUAUGAGCAUAAAGACACUACCACUGGGACCAUGGCCAGUUUACAAAUGUCAUGGCAACACACCUUGGCAAUGGCCUGGAAGUUACUUUAUAUGGUUCUGGAAACUCCCUGCCCCUUUCCCAGAAAGUUCUGAAUAACCUACCUCUUAAUUGGCAUGCAAUUAAAAGUGGCUCUAAAUACAACUAGCUAGUAGCCCACAGGCACAAACUCUGGGCACACUGCCUAUAGGUUAGCCCUGCUCUGCAAGAAGUAGCACCAGUUCAAUAAAAGUUGCUUUCUCUCA
rnacentral:lncRNA from 1 species